ACGGAGGGGACGAGCGUUGUCCGAAGUUACUGGGCGUAAAGCGCGCGUAGGCGGGUUGGCAAGUCUGCUGUGAAAGCCCGGGGCUUAACCCCGGAGGGUCGGUGGAUACUGCCAGUCUUGAAGGUGCUAGGGGGAGAUGGAAUUACCGGUGUAGCGGUGAAAUGCGUAGAUAUCGGUAGGAACACCAGUGGCGAAGGCGGUCUCCUGGGGCACUCUUGACGCUGAGGCGCGAAAGCUGGGGGAGCGAACGGGA
rnacentral:rRNA from 1 species